AGCUCCAGUAGCGUAUAUUAAAGUUGUUGCAGUUAAAAAGCUCGUAGUUGGAUUUCUGGCGUGACGCGCCUGGCCCGCUGCUAUUUGCAUGUGAGUGCUGGAGCGCAUCUGCCAUCCUUUUACUGAACGUUGUCUCCCCUUCACUGGGCGAGAUUCUGUGAAGUAAAUCAAUUACUUUGAAAAAAUUAGAGUGUUCAAAGCAGGCUUGUGCUGUGAAUACAUUAGCAUGGAAUAAUAAUUUAGGACUUCGUUUCCUAUUUUAUUGGUUUCUAGGAAUGAAGUAAUGAUUGAUAGGGAUAGUUGGGGGUGCUUGUAUUCAGCGGCCAGAGGUGAAAUUCUCGGAUUCGCUGAAGACAAACUUAUGCGAAAGCAUUCACCAAGGAUGUCCUCUUUAAUCAAG
rnacentral:rRNA from 1 species